UACAGAGGGUGCAAGCGUUGCUCGGAAUUAUUGGGCGUAAAGGGUAGGUAGGUGGUCUCAUUUGUCGGGGGUGAAAGCCUUGGGCUUAAUCCAAGAAGUGCCUUCGAAACGGUGAGACUGGAGUCCUGGAGAGGGUCGUGGAAUUCCCGGUGUAGCGGUGAAAUGCGCAGAUAUCGGGAAGAACACCCGUGGCGAAGGCGGCUCUCUGGGACGGUACUGACGCUGAGACGCGAAAGCGUGGGGAGCGAACAGG
rnacentral:rRNA from 1 species